UACGUAGGGAGCAAGCGUUGUCCGGAAUUAUUGGGCGUAAAGCGCGCGCAGGUGGUUUCUUAAGUCUGAUGUGAAAGCCCACGGCUCAACCGUGGAGGGUCAUUGGAAACUGGGGAACUUGAGUGCAGAAGAGGAAAGUGGAAUUCCAAGUGUAGCGGUGAAAUGCGUAGAGAUUUGGAGGAACACCAGUGGCGAAGGCGACUUUCUGGUCUGUAGUGACACUGAGGCGCGAAAGCGUGGGGAGCGAACAAGG
rnacentral:rRNA from 1 species